UCAGCACGAGGCUGGGCCACCACAGCCAAGUGUUUCAAUUCCUGAAGAGCUUCCAGAAGAAAUUAGUAUGUAAUGACCGCACUCUGCAAGAAGAAAGGCCCAUUAUGGCUCUCGCUGACUGUACUUGGCUUUCAUUUGCAAGCUAAAUGGAUGCGUGCGAAGAUACAUGAGGGUGCACAGCCAAAAGCGCUAAUUCGUGGCCCCGAGGGUGUUCAUUUCACGUAAUCUCAGCAUUCAGGGAAGGAACUGUUGCAAAUGAGAUGGGCCUCGCCGUGUUGGGUGACUGAUGCACUCCUACGUCCAGAAUUCCAUUUGUUCCUUUUACACUUUCUGUUUGGAUUUUGGAGAUAGCAACCACUACAGCAGUCCCAGCACUUACAAUGCCAGACUCUGUUUUGAAACAAUUGUGACUCGUGGCCUCUUCAAGCAUGCUAAGCGAUCAAAAACAGGCCAAGACAAACAAGGCCUGCAGCUGUCCACAAAACAAAACCACAGAUAAAUACUCAAACACGUCUGGGCCAGCGGAAACGGCUUGGCUCUCGCCUGGCCCUGAAAGGACCCAUUGUGCUCCCCAAAACAGCACAAUGUCACGCAGCCCUCAUUUGAGAGAAAUUUUUAUUUACCACGUCUUUCAUUCGCGGAGCGCCGCGGCGGUGGGAGCGAGAAAAAAGGAGGAAAAUACCCACCCUGCUGGAACGGAGUGGAACGGCUCCAACCUCCCUCGCCAUCGCUCAGCCCGGUUGUACAACCAGAUCUCUCUCAUCUUUCAGCCAGAGAUACUCGACGUGCCGAAACAGUUUAGACGGUGGCACUGAAAAGCCUCGUUUUAAUAUGCAGCACGGCAAUUCAUUAUCAUUCUAUUGGGUGCUACAAUGAUGACUGAAGAGUCUUUGACCCCCCCUGAUUGUCAGAUCACGGUCAGUUACUAAGAAAAUAAAA